rnacentral:misc_RNA from 1 species
GCAUGGCGGACUAUGCCGGUGUGAAUGCCGGUGUCGUUACCGUCGUGCGCGAUGUUCUGCAACAACAGGCUCAUAAACUGCGGCGUGGUGUGAGAGGCAUUCCCAUCUCCAGGGUUUCCCAUGAUGCGGACCUGCAAACGGUGAGAUCACUUGCGCCUCACGACCGUGAACUCGAUCGGAUGCCGUGGACUACAGCCGCCGUCGUUCGCCAGAUUUCCCGAUGUCGGGUGGUGGUGGCGGGAAGUUAUCACGCCGGCGUGUUCGCACUGUCUCAGGGAAUUCCCGUGGUCGCCGUUGUUCAAUCCGAUUAUUACGCUCAAAAAUUUUACGGUCUUGCACAUCAGUUUGGCGCGGGUUGCACCGUGCUCGCCUGCAAUGAAGCGGGCUUCAGACAACGGCUCGAAACCGCUGUGGUUGCCGCGUGGAACGGUGCCAGGAUCAGGAAUCCUCUCCUGCGGGCGGCGGCCAAAAAACAGAUUGCUGCCGCUCGGAAAGCUUACGCAACCAUUCCGGACCUGAUGCCGUGAAAGUGCAAGAAAACGGUUGGGAGUUAAUCUUCCCGAACGCGGAAGAAUCCCGUGAAGUUUGAAAUCGGAACGCUCGCGCUUUGAAUUGCGGUUGUCACAAUUCCACUCCA